UACAGAGGGGGCUAGCGUUGUUCGGAAUUACUGGGCGUAAAGGGCGCGUAGGUGGCCUGUUAAGUCGAACGUGAAAUCCCCGGGCUCAACCCGGGAACUGCGUCCGAGACUGGCAGGCUCGAAUCCGGGAGAGGGAUGUGGAAUUCCAGGUGUAGCGGUGAAAUGCGUAGAUAUCUGGAGGAACACCGGUGGCGAAGGCGGCAUCCUGGACCGGCAUUGACGCUGAGGAGCGAAAGCCAGGGGAGCAAACGGG
rnacentral:rRNA from 1 species